GGCAGACUAGAGUGCGGUUAGGGGAGAUUGGAAUUCCUGGUGUAGCGGUGGAAUGCGCAGAUAUCAGGAGGACACAGAUGGCGAAGGCAGAUCUCUGGGCCGUACUGACGCUGAGGAGCGAAAGGGUGGGGAGCAAACAGGCUUAGAUACCCUGGUAGUCCACCCCGUAAACGUUGGGAACUAGUUGUGGGGUCCAUUCCACGGAUUCCGUGACGCAGCUAACGCAUUAAGUUCCCCGCCUGGGGGAGUACGGCCGCAAGGCUAAACUCAAAGGAAUUGACGGGGACCCGCACAAGCGGCGGAGCAUGCGGAUUAAUUCGAUGCAACGCGAAGAACCUUACCAAGGCUUGACAUAUACGAGAACGGGCCAGAAAUGGUCAACUCUUUGGACACUCGUAAACAGGUGGUGCAUGGUUGUCGUCAGCUCGUGUCGUGAGAUGUUGGGUUAAGU
rnacentral:rRNA from 1 species